CAUACCCCGUGCACUUUUUAUUUACCUGUAUACGUCAAGUGAGACAUUUCUAUAAUAUAAAUUUAAGAAAACUUCCUGUUUUGUAAUAUUGCAGCUUUACACGCUAAUAAACAAGGAAAAUAGCCAUGCACAGCGGUUCCACCGGAAAGGUCCAUCCGUCGCAAGGUCAAGAGCAACAUACUGAGCAGGAUGGGGAUAUUGGUUGCUGUGGAUACAUUUUGAUGGCAUUUUCCUACGUUCUUGUUGCAUUGUUUUUCCCACUUUCCCUUUGUUUAACAAUUAAGGUGGUGCAAGAGUAUGAGAGGGCAGUCAUUUUCAGACUGGGGCGAGUUUUACCAGGAGGAGCCAAAGGCCCAGGUAAGUAUUUACCUUACUUAUUAAGAAUGGAUUUAUGUAUGUUGACUCCUUAUCCAAACUAGCAUUACUGGAAUCUUUUACUUGGCCUUCAGUCGGUGUGGCAGGAAAGUAAACUAUCAGUUUGUGGAUUUUUUAAAGGGAUAUAUGAUGCACAUAUAAUGUUUUGUAUUGCUGCCUCACUGGUUCACAUAGCAGUGUAAAUACCAGUAUUCUGUUUCACAAUAAGUCCACUUCACAAACCUGGAUCAGUGAACUUUCUCAUUUUUAAUAUUUGACUGAGUCAAAAGUAAAUUUUAUUGCAGUCAUUUUUUUGUGUUAAUUUUAUUUGAUAAGUCACAUCAAGUAUAAAAGUGUUUGCAAGCAAGAAUAUAUAUAGCUUUUUACAAGGAUUGGAAUUGUCUCUCUCACCUGACCACGCACCCCUUCCCCUCCCCAAUUUUUAAAAAUCCCUAAAGGUUGGUGUAUAAACCAUUAUAUGGUGUAUGAUUUUACUUGUAGGAUUAUUUUUCAUCUUGCCUUGCAUUGAUGACUUUAAGAAAACUGAUAUGAGAACCCUUACAUAUGAUGUGCCCCCACAAGAAAUCCUUACAAAAGACUCUGUCACUGUAGCUGUGGAUGCCGUUAUUUAUAUCAGAAUCUUUGAUGCUACCAUGGCAACAGUCAAUGUCUCUGAUGCUUACCAGUCCACCCGUCUGUUAGCUGCUACCACAUUAAGAAAUGUCCUUGGAACCAGGCUUAUGGCAGAGCUUUUGACUGAUAGAGAAUCUAUUGCCUCAAACAUGAAGGUACAACUUGAUGAAGCUACAGAUCCCUGGGGUGUCAAAGUAGAGAGAGUUGAGAUUAAAGAUGUCCGCCUCCCCAUCCAGUUACAGAGAGCUAUGGCAGCUGAGGCAGAAGCAUCCAGAGAGGCCAGGGCUAAGAUUGUUGCUGCUGAAGGAGAACAGAAGGCGUCGCGUGCGCUGAAAGAAGCCGCUGAUGUCAUGAUGGAGUCUCCGGCCGCCAUUCAACUCCGUUACCUGCAGACUCUUAACUCCAUCGCAGCAGAGAAGAACUCGACCAUUAUUUUCCCUCUGCCUAUUGAUGUAAUGGCUACUUUUAUGAAGAAAUAAUCUAACAUUGUUUGCAUAUGCACAGUUUUUAAAAGUACAGCUACAUUGGGAAAGAUUCAUGGAUGCCAUGCUGAAGCUAUAUUUAUUUAUUUGUGUUUUCUUGCUGAGAGCAUCAAGUACUUUGCUCUUAUAGAGCUGAAAAGCUACUCAUUGCUCCAAAUUGUUGGAGGUAAACACUUGACUAAGUGAACAUGGGUACUUUGCCUUGUACAACAGGCUUGUUUUACAGGCGUGGUUAAUUUUACUUUUAAUUUUUUAAUUUUUUAUUCGAGAUUUUACACCAGUGUUUUUAUUACUGAUUAACAUAACGUGUUCAACUAACAAAACUGAUUCAAAUUCUGUUUAUGCAUUGUUGUUCUAAAAAGUAUUCAUCAUUGAAAUAAAUUUUAUAUUUUG
rnacentral:misc_RNA from 1 species